UUGUAGGCUGCAACUCGCCUACAUGAAGUCGGAAUCGCUAGUAAUCGCGGAUCAGCACGCCGCGGUGAAUACGUUCCCGGGCCUUGUACACACCGCCCGUCACACCACGAGAGUUUGUAACACCCGAAGUCGGUGAGGUAACCUUUUGGAGCCAGCCGCCUAAGGUGGGACAGAUGAUUGGGGUGAAGUCGUAACAAGGUAGCCGUAUCGGAAGGUGCGGCUGGAUCACCUCCUUUCUAAGGAA
rnacentral:rRNA from 1 species